AUUGAACGCUGGCGGCAGGCCUAACACAUGCAAGUCGAACGGUAGCACAGAGAGCUUGCUCUCGGGUGACGAGUGGCGGACGGGUGAGUAAUGUCUGGGAAACUGCCCGAUGGAGGGGGAUAACUACUGGAAACGGUAGCUAAUACCGCAUAACGUCGCCAGACCAAAGUGGGGGACCGUCGGGCCUCACACCAUCCGAUGUGCCCAGAUGGGAUUAGGUAGUGGGGGGGGUAAUGGCUCACCUAGGCGUGGAUCCCUAGCUGGUCUGUGAGGAUGACCAGCCACACUGGAACUGAGACACGGUCCAGACUCCUACGGGGGGCAGCAGUGGGGAAUAUUGCACAAUUGGCGCAAGCCUGAUGCAGCCAUGCCGCGUGUAUGAAGAAGGCCUUCGGGUUGUAAAGUACUUUCAGCGGGGAGGAAGGCGGUGAAGUUAAUAACUUCACCGAUUGACGUUACCCGCAGAAGAAGCACCGGCUAACUCCGUGCCAGCAGCCGCCGCCG
rnacentral:rRNA from 1 species